CUCGCCGCAGCCAGCGCGUGACGGCGUCGUGGAAUCGGCUGCCAGCUCUCGGCCGCCAAGUCACUCACAGCGUCGCGAGGCCUCGCGCGAGCCUGGCCGGUCCGCAAGGGGUGGGGAUCCCCCCUCCCGCCCGACAACCAGAACGGGGCCCCCAUGGCCCCGCACCCAUCCCAGCGCAGCCUCGGUAUUGCGCACGGCCCGGGGAGCCGGGGUAAUGGGCCGCCCCCGCCGGGGAAGGACGGGGUCUCCUGCCCUGACGCUGGGCGGAGCGCGGCCCCCACAUCUCGCUCCCCCGGACAGGGUUGGAAGCUUUAGAUCCAUCACACGAAUUCUUGACUCUUGAGCUAACGGAGUAACUAACAGCAGUGGUAAGCCAUCAUUCUCUACAUGAACCAUCACUAGAGAAGGAUGACACAUCUCCAUUGAGUUUCACAGAUAUUUGCUGACAGCAGAGGAAUGUGAGACACUGGAAUACUGGGUUCAGUUCCAGGCUCUGGAGAGGAGCAUGCUCUAGUUGGCACACUCUUUUCUCUCCUGUUGCCCCUGAGGUAGCUUCCUCCUCCACACCGUCUGAAUGUCCAUAAGGGGAAGAGGAACUGAGAGCAUUGGAGAAACAGUCCAGCAGUUGUCAGAUCCUGUAUCCAUCUUAUUGCAGCCAGAAGCAGCAAUUUCAAAUAAAGUCCUCGUCACUGGCUGCAACCCUGGUUUGGAGUGUGCUCAGUGCAGACAAACUGUUCUGAGAAUUUUAGCAGUCAAACUUCAAUAACUCACUACUGAGCCUGUUCAAACAGACGUUGAGAAGGUUUAUAACUUGUCCAGAUCUUCACAGGGAGUGCCAAAGACACAUCCCUGAAACCAGGGCAAGCCCCCAUCUGUUCCAAAUCUUGGAGAAGCUGGAGCUUCCAAAAAUAAAUAAAUAAAGCAAAAACUUGCAACCUAUUCAUUAAGAAGUGUAUAACAACUUGUUUUUCCCUAAUUUCAUUCCUGGAAACUGCUGAUCUGUUUUGGUUUGUUUAUUUUUGCUGAAACUCAGAAACAUUUCAGCCUAAAGCAGACACACCAUAUGGGUACUUUGAGCCUGAACAGUUUAAAUCUGGCAAAAUUAUAAGCAAUUUGAAAACUGUCUUAGUGUUGGACAACCUUAACAAGCUUCAGUACCUGCUCCACCUAUAGAAUAUACAUAAGAGUAAUAUGAAAGCAUAAAUGGAAGAGCAGUUACUAUCUACAUGUAUUAAGUGGCCCCUUCAGUCUCAGAAGUGGGUAUGCCAGCAGGAGAAAGAAAAAACAAUGGUCCUUUCAAGGAGUACAUGCCCCUUGCUGUGUACGUGGAGUACAUGCCCCUUCAGUGCCCUCAUUGUCUUCAAAAGAGGGCUCUGGGUUGAUUUGCUACACUCUUGUGUUUCACCAAAGCAUAUUGGCUCCACAGCACUUAAUAGAAGGGUUUAUAAUCCCACCCCUUGUCCUGGAGCACAGUUCUUCUUCGCGUGUUUGCUCAUAUCGAUUGCAGUUAGUUGUGUAUGUGCGCACCGCAUGCACAGUUGCCGGAAGGGUUUUCCCCUAGCAGCACCUGUCAAGUCGGCUGUGGAGCCCCCUGGAGUCGCACCUUCAUAGUGCCGCAUAUAGGGCCCUGCCAACCCGCCACCUCUCCACUUCUUACCGCCAGUGGCAGUCAUGUCUCGUCUUCACAAGCGAUCCUCUAGCAUAGUCUCUCUGUCAAUAGGUAAAAGGCAGUUUUUUAAAAAGUUGUUUUAUAGUUAGUUUAGGUAUCUGAACUCGGGGGUGUUCUCCUCCACUCCCUCCCCACUUCCACUUCCCUAUUCUGGGCCUGGGGCAUGCCUUGGACCCAGGCUUUAAACCAUGUGGGGUUUGCCAAAAGCCUAUGCCCAAGGGCAACCCACACACAGCUUGUCUAAAGUGCCUGGGAGAGUCCCAUCAAAUGGACAGGUGUAAGAUCUGUAGGAGUUUUCGACCCCGCAUGAGAAAAGAGAGGGACCACAGGUUGAAGCUGCAGCUAAUGGAAGCAGCUCUGUGCCUUCAGUCUGAGUCGAGCCCCACGGAUAUGAUACUGGGCUCCUUGGCAUUGGUGCGCAGCGCACUGACUUCAAUCCAGGAGGUGCUGAGGAAGGACUCAGGUCAGACACCCUCAGCACGAGCACUCCCCGGCGCCGAUGACCAUGGCAAGGGAGCAAUCACAGCACUGAUCACAGUCUCCUGUGCCAAGGAAGAAGUACAGGAAAACGGACACGGGGUGCUCUCCGUCCCAAACAGUGGAAUGGGAGCCGCCCAAGGGAGGGCAAGCUGUGCAGGACCACACCUACCCUCCUGCUCAACAGCCGGCACUGUCAACUCUGGUCCCGCGGCAGGGGACAUUGAGUUGCCACUGGAGGAGACCCAAGUGGAGGAUUUAGACCUUCCCUCCACACCGGAGACUUACAAGGCAGCCUGGGAUCACUCUUAUAACUCUGAAGGUCCACACUCUCCUGAUCAGAGUGAGAGUGCACCGGCACCGAGGCACCACAGUGGCCACCGGUGCAGUCCAAGGGCAAGCCGGCUAUGACUCGGCGCCGAUCUCCAUCUCCCCGGCACCAAUCCCUGGCACCGACGGGCACAGCACUGCCAUGGUCUCCACGCUCGUACUCCUCGGAGUCCAAAUCGGAGAUGGACUCCUGUGUGUCCCAGAGGAGCUGGCACCAUAGCCACCAACGCUCACAGACUGUGAUGGUCUGUGAUGCAGACCUUCCCCCAGUGCCAUGGCCGGCACAAUGGCACGUAUAACCAAUAUAACUUGAAAUCAUGUGAUGCAAUGCUCAAAUUUUCUGACCUGGUCCCACCGGACUCUAAGUCCGAAUUCGCGGCUCUGGUGGAUGAGGGCAAGAUGGUCACCAGGACGUCACUGCAAGCCCCGUUAGACUCAGCAGACUCUGCAAUGCAAGCCGUGUCCUCGGGCAUCGCAAUGCGCCAUUGCUCCUGGCUGCAGACUUUGGGCCUCCCCAGGAAGGUCCAACAGACAAUCCAGGAUCUCCUGUUCAAGGGCUCUACACUAUUCUCAGAGAAAACGGACUCAAGACUCUACAGUUUGAAAGACUCCUGAGCCAUUCUGAGAUUGCUGGGACUGCACACUCCUGCCACCCAGCAUAGACAAUUUAGGCCUCAGCCCACAUCAUGACAAUACCAGGAGCAGUCUUGACAGGACCAUAAUUGCAGGCGACCCAGAAAUCAAAACAGUCAUCACCAACCCCCAACCCCCGAGCAACUGGGGAUCUGGGUCGUCCAGACAACCACCAGGCCCUAAGAAGACCUUUUGAGGAUGCACCUGAGGGCGUUAUACCAGCCUGCCAACCAGAUCCUUCUUUCCCUUUUUUGGAACAUCUAUCCCAUUUCUACAGGCGUGGUCCCAAAUCACCUCAGACCGUUGGGUCCUAUGGUAGAAAUGGGAUAUUCUCUCCAAUUCUCUUCACCCCCCUGCCACCCGUCUUCCCCGUCCCUCUUCAGGGACCCUUCUCAUGAGCAACUCCUUAUGCAGGAGGUACAAACCCUCCUAUCGGCAGUAGCUGUGGAGGAGGUUCCGCUGGAGCUCAGGGAAGGGGGGUUUUACUCCCGGCAUUUCCUAAUACCAAAAACAAAGUGGCACCUCAGACCCAUCUUGGACCUGUGCAAUAUCAACAGGUUCAUGAAAAAACUAAAGUUUUGUAUCGUCUCUUUGGCCACUAUUAUCCCUUCCCUGGAUCCAGGAGAUUGGUAUGCCGCCCUUGACUUGAAGGAUGCAUAUUUCCACAUUUCCCUAACCCCGCCCCACAGGCACUUCCUAAGGUUUGUAGUCGGGGGCACUCACUACCAAUUCACAGUGCUACCGUUCAGCCUAUCAUCAGCACCUCAGGUGUUCACCAAUGUAUGUCGCUCAUGGCCGCCUUUCUGCGAAAAAGGCAGAUUCAGGUAUUCCCAUACCUCGAUGACUGGCUAAUCAAGGGCUGGUCCAGGACACAAGUAGAUCAACAGGUCACCCUGUUAAGAUCCACCUUCAACGCAUUGGGCCUCCUCCUAAACACUCAAAAGUCAAUGCUCACCCCUACUCAAAGAAUAGAGUUUAUAGGGGCGGUGCUAGACUCGAGACAGGCCAGAGCGUUCCUGCCUCAGUCCUGUUUCCAGGCCAUUCACAAUGUCGUACAGAACCUCAGACAAUUACCUAUAACCACAGUAAGAAGUUGCUUGAAACUCCUAGGACACAUGGCAUCUUGCACAUAUGUCGUGCAACACAUGAGGCUCAGACUCAGACCUCUCCAGGUGUAUCGACCAAGCAGGCACAGCCUAGACAAGGUACUUACCCUUCCACCACGGGUUCUCGAGUCUCCUCAGUGAUGGCUCGACCCGCACUUGGUGUGUGCAGGGAUCACCUUUUCCAAACCCCACCCCUUGCUAUGUCUGACCAGUGAUGCCUCUAUCAUGGCGUGGGGAGCGGACCUCGGAGAGCACAGAACUCGGGGCCUCUGGUUUCUGGAGCAACUGCUGCUUCACAUCAAUGUUGGGGAGCUCAGGGCAUUCCGUCUGGCAUUUGAGACCUUUUAGCCUCUCCUGGAGGACAAAUGCAUAUCAGUCCUGACAGAAAAAUACAACAGUGAUGUUUUUUAUCGACAGACAGGGAGGAGCGUGCUCCUCUCCCCUAUGUCAGGAAGUCCUCAAGCUCUGGGAGUUCUGUAUAGCACACUCGAUACUCAUGGAAGCAUCCUAUCUCCCCAGGUCUCAGAACGAGCUAGCAGACCACCUCAGCAGGUCUUUUCAAAAUCAGGAGUGGUCUAUUCACCUGGACGUAAUAAGCAAUAUCUUCCAAUGCUGGGGAGUUCCCCAGAACGAUCUGUUUGCCACAGGGGGCAACAGGAAGUGCCUGCAAUUCUGCUUCUUCCUGAACCACAGCCCGGGCUCAUUGGCAGACGUGUUUCUUCUUCCAUGGAAGGACUACCUCUUCUACACAUUCCCUCUGAUUCUGCUAGUUCACAAGGUCCUUCUCAAGAUCCGGAGCGACGGAAUCUCGGUGAUCCUGGUGGCACCAGCCUGGCCAUGUCAGCAUUGGUACACCAUGCUACUGCAGCUUUCAGUGGAUACUCCAAUUACUCUGCUGUUAGUUCCAGACCUCAUCACUCCACAUCACAGUUGUCUCCAGCAUCCCAAUCUCAAAACUCACCACCUGACGGCUUGGAAGUUGCAUGGUUAAACCUGCUAGAGCUCACAUGCUCAGACCCCAUUAGGGAGGUCCUUUUGGGUAGCAGAAAACCAUUCACCAGAGCUACUUACCUGGCCAAAUGGAAAAGAUUAGCAAUUUGGUGCUUGCAGAGCCAUAUCCCUCCAACGUAAUCGUUGGUUCCCUUUAUCUUGGACUUUAUCCCUUUAUCUUCAACUGCUAAAGUUGAAACAGCAGGGCUUGUCUCACUCCUCGAUGAAGGUUCACCUGGCCGCCAUCUCAGGUUUUCACCCAGGAGAACAUGGCCUCUCUAUCUUCACUAAUCAUGUGGUGCGACGAUUCCUCAAAGGGUUGGACAGGCUGUAUCCUCAAAUCCAACAGCCCACCCCAGCUUCGGACCUUAACCUGGUACUCUUGAGGCUGAUGGGGCCCCUGUUCAAGCCCCCCCAAAAAAAAUCUUGGACAAGACUGACUUGGAAGGUUGAGUCACUGUUCUAGAAACUGGCCAAAGAAAAACAAAUGACCGUGUCAGAGCUGCAGAGCCACUUGGCAUUGCUGCAGCAGAGAGAGAUAUGAAGCUUAAAUUAGAUGGCACAGAAAACAGAUCAGGGAAAAAGAAUGUUAGUGUGACGGGUUUGGUCACAGAGUCCCCCUUGGAACUGUCACCUGACAUGCUGGAAUUACCUUUGAGCCCGUUUUCCCUGCCAGCUUGGGACUCCAGAACCCUGCCUUGUUGAGCCAAACACACUAGCCUUCUGCAACACAGACCCAUGUCUGGUCCACGCCCCCAAAGCUGCAGACUUUAACCAAAAACUGCUCAGCACGCAGACAACCAGUUCCCAAUGGGAUCCAAACCCAAAUAAAUCCGUUUUACUCUGUAUAAAGCUUAUACAGGGUAAACUCAUAAAUUGUCUGCCCUCUAUAACACUGAUAGAGAGAUAUGCACAGCUGUUUGCUCCCCCGGGUAUUAAUCACUUACUCCGGGUUCAUUAAUAAACAAAAGUGAUUUUAUUAAGAAUAAAAAGUAGGAUUUAAGUGGUUUCAAGUAGUAACAGACAGAACAAAGUAAGUCAUCAAGCAAAAUAAAGCAAAAACACACAAGUCUAAGCCUAAUACAUUGAGAAACUGAUUACAGGUUGUGACAAAGUUCCUGCUCUACCUUGGUGGGUCUUGUGCUUAUUGGCGGAUUUGCUCACCUUGGAGCUUCACGGCAGCCCUCAGCUUGGCCGCUUUUCUGAAUUCACAGUCCAGGUCGACUCCUCCUGUGUCUGACCAGGAGUUGGGAGGAUUUGGGGGGAACCCGGGCCCGCCCUCUACUCCGGGUUCCAGCCAAAGGCCCUGUGGAAUGCAGCUGUCUAGAGUGCCUCCUGGAACAGCUGUGCAACAGCUACAACUCCCUCGGCUACUUCCCGAUAGCCUCCUCCCAACACCUUCUUUAUUCUCACCAUAGAACCUUCCUCCUGGUGUCCGACAAUGCUUGUACACCUCGGUCCUCCAACAGUCCGCGUUCUCACUCUCAGCUCCUAGUGCCUCUUGCUUCCAGCUCCUCAUACGCACACCACAAACUGAAGUGAGCUCCUUUUUAAAACCCAGGUGCCCUGAUUAGCCUGCCUUAAUUGAUUCUAGCAGCUUCUUGAUUGGCUGCAGGUUUUCUAAUCAGCCUGUCUUAAUUGUCUCCAGAAGGUUCCUGAUUGUUCUGGAACCUUCUCUAUUACCUUACCCAGGGAAAAGGGACCUACUGAACCUGGGGCUAAUAUAUCUGCCUUCUAUUACUCUCUUGUAGCCAUCUGGCCCGACCCUGUCACAAGGUGAAAUCUCACUCUCCAAGAUGUUCCAAUAAGCUUCUUUCACAGACUCGACUCCUUCCUAGUCUGGGCCCAAUCCUUUCCCCUGGUACAGUCCUUGUUAGUUUCAGCAGACAUCUUAGGUGGAAACUAGGGGUUUUCUCAUGACUGGCAGCAACCUUUGUUCUGUUUGGCACAAGGUGGGAAUCUUUUGUCUCUCUGGGUCCCCAUCCUUCCUUCUAAAAGGAAAAGCAUCAGAUUUAAGAUGGAUUCCAGUAUCAGGUAACAUGUUCACAUGUCCUGUGAGACCCCAGCCUCCAUUCUUCCAGGGCUGGCCCACAUGCACCCAGAAAGGUUUGCAAGUAAACAGACCAUUUACAACCAAUUGUCCUAGUCAGUGGGAGCCGUCAAGCUUCCAAACCACCAUUAAUGGCCCACACUUUGCAUACUUACAGUAGGACCUCAGAGUUAUACUUCAUAUUCCUAGUUUCAGAUACAAGAAUGAUACAUUCAUACAAAUAGGAUGAACACACUCAGUAGAUUAUAAGCUUUGUAAUGAUACCUUACAAGAGACUUUUUGCAUAAAGCAUAUUCCAGUUACAGUAUAUUCACACUCAUAAGCAUAUUUCCAUAAAACAUUAUGGAGUGCAUCGCCCAUUAGAAUUGAAAGGUUGCCUGAAAAAGCUGAAGGAGACAAUCCAGUAUUGUAUCUCAGAACUUUAAUUGCAGAGUUCUUAAAUCUCAGUUUUUUGGAAGAAGUGAAAGUGAACAGAACACAUAGGGGUGUUAUUCCCUCCACUGGGGCCUCAUAUCAGACCAAGAGAUCUGAUUGUGAAAUUUCUUCAUUAAGAGCAAAAAAUAUUGAAGUAUGGGUAAAAAGCAGAGAGCAUCCAGCACUUAUACUGAAAAACCACAAACUGCAUUUUUUUUCAGGCUUUCCUGGAAAGGGGCUGGGGAAAAUUACAGCAGUACUCAGGAGGGCAGAAAUCCACUACAAAUGGGAAUUCCCUUUUAAACUCUCAUUCAGCUUCCAAAAUUGGUAUCAUAUAGUAAGACUUUAAACAAGGAAAAAUAUAUUCUAGUCGCUUGGGAUAGAAAUCCAAAUCUCAGACAUACAGAUGGAUACUCCAGAGGUAGAACCUAAUUAUAAGCUGCUGAAAAAAUAUCUUGGCAGAUGAGGAAAUCCAAGAAGAGGAGGGUGGGGGAGGGGCGGGGAAACAAACUCUGAAGAAUGUACUGGCAGUGGCAGAAGUGAAGCUGAGCAAGAGGGAUUCCUAAUAUCUGAGGAGUAACCUAACAAUUAACUAGAAGGGACUUACUCAGAAUCAUCAGGAACCAAUAGUUGAACAUUAACUAUGUAAAUGUUGUAAAGGAUUGGAGCCUAUCUUAUAGCACCCUCCUCCUACCAGACCAGGUUUUGCUCUUGCUGAGGCAGCUCAUUUCCUGGGGUAGUUCUGUCUCAGCUCUCUCACAGAAUCCAGGAAAGCAGUUUCCAGCAGAGUUAGUUGUUUUUUUAUAUGAAGUCUUCUUAACAAAUCAAAACUUCACAGACUCUUCCCUCAAAAGUCUAUGCAGGCCAAGUAAUCUCUUCUCCUAGUCUGUCCCUCACACCAGUAACUUCAGCAACCCAAAAAUUCCUGGCUCUUGCCUCUGAGCCUCAGUAAUAAAGGACUUCACAUGAUCAUGGAGCGUCUGACCAUUUCAACAUCUUCAUUUCUGUGGUGGAGAGCGUACUGAUUUCUUUUCUAGCAGCUGGCCGGAUUACCAUUCUGUACAUUAAAAUGGAUUGAAUUACAGUUUUAUAUAUGCUACCUUUUAACUGUAUUGGCAUCUUUUUGUCACAAAGAACUGGGGUUAGCUCCCAACAUUUGCACCAAGCAGCUUUUGUAUGAUGCCAUCAUCAGCCACCAUUGAUCCUAGGUAUCUAAAUUCUUUCACUCUUCUAAGCUCUCUGCCUUUUUUAUCCUUUGUGAUGAGUCUUCCUCCCACAAGUACCAUAGCUUUGGUCUUAAUAAUGUUCCUUCUAAGUCCCGCCUGCUCAAAACUAUGUUGCCACGGUUCAAAGUUGACUUGCUGCUCUCAGUCUUCCACACAGACCAUUAAAUCAUCAGCAAACAGUGUGUUCCAAGUCAGCCCUCCCUUAUCACAUCCAUGACAACCACAAACAAAAAGGGACCCCGAUGCAGGCCAACAAUUGCUGGAAAUUCUCUACUGUAGCCGUAUUAGUUUUGACUGUGGUAGUCGUUACAUCAUGCCAGACCUCCAGGAAUAGCUGCCAAAUAGUGCCAAUUUUGAAGUGAUUUGUCAGCUGGAAAGGGAUUCAAAUCAUGAGCCAAGUGACUUGGAAGUUCCAAAUCCAUAUAUAGAUGUCCUUCUGCUAGUAGAAAGUCACUAAGGAACAUACUCAAUAGUUGCAUGCUCAUCAAAGUAAUUGACAGUGAAAGCUGAAUGCCUAUGCAAAAUGAAAUGCUGAUUUAAGUCCAGUACCUGCCCCUCUGUAGUGGUGAUCCGGAUCAGCCAGAACUUCUGUUAAUAAGGGGGUACUUCAGGUCCAAACGGGGAAAAGACAUUAAUAAAACCCUUAUUAACUAUUUCAUGCUGUAACAGUCUUGGGUUUUGUAUCAAGUUGUUGCUGGCUUACUCCCAUUGCAACCAUCGUAAAAAAUAUUUUUAACCUUUUAUUUAACUAAGAAGGAAAAUAGCACAUCUGAAACAAAGAAUUGAAUACGUAACAUUUUCCCUUAAUUCCCUUCCCUUUAACUAUAUAAGAAUCUUUGAUGGUACUGAAUGUUCUUUUGGCAAAAACAGAAGAAAUUCAAGACCAUCUUAACUAAUUUUCUCUUUGUUGAUGAAGAGAAGCUCAAUCCUAUUCCCUUUAAGGCAAAACAAGACAUACACAGAUGGAACAACAGAAAAUACAGCUUCUGUCUUACGUUUUUUACUCACAGACUUGCUACGGAGAAACACAGGCAGCACGCAUCAUUUUAUCAGACACUCUGAAAACUGGGAAACCUACCAGCAUAGGGCUGCUGAAGACACUGCUUUUAGCUUCCUCUCUGCUCACAGGCUUACGGCAGUGUUGCAGAGGGGAAAAUGUCUUGGCUGGUUAUGCCAGAUUCUUAUUCGACAAAAGACAGCAAAAGGACAUUAAGAAAGAGGAGAAAUAAGGUGAGAGAAGAAAAUAAGGGAGAGAAUGAUAGGAGUAACCAAAGGCUCUCAACCCAACAGUUGUUCAGAUUAUAGCCAAGGUGUGAGAAUCUGCAAGUCUGCAACUUGGAUCUGCUGGCACCUGGGCAGCUGCUGUGUCCACGGCACCACCACUGGAGGGCCCAUGGAUGUCUUGACUGGCAGAGCCUGAUUGGCCCAGGCACACUAUUUAAGGCCUAAGGAAAACAUCUGGAAACUAUCUGUGCAACUAGGCAGAUCCCUGGCUUGCUGCUGCAAACAGACCCUGCUGUGCAUUCCUGAUCCCUUGCCUCAUUCCUGAUCCCAGUUCCUGGUCCUCAUCCCUGCUUCUGAUGUUUCACCUUGCCUCUCUUCCACUAACUCUACUUCAUCUUAGAGACUAACCAAUUUAUUUGAGCAUAAGCUUUCGUGUAGCUCACGAAAGCUUAUGCUCAAAUAAAUUGGUUAGUCUCUAAGGUGCCACAAGUACUCCUUUUCUUUUUGUGAAUACAGACUAACACGGCUGUUACUCUGAAAUCUACUUCAUCUGACUCACUUGGCUCCAAUCCAUUGCAGUUCAUCAACAUCAACUCCAUCAUGAUCCUACAGCAUGACUCCAGGACAGAUUGCUGCUUCUGUCUUUGACCCUCUUGACUGAACUCUGAGUAUGUUCUCAGUCCCUUGCCCUCAGGCUCUGGCUUCGACCCCUGCCCCCCAUAAUUGGGGUCCUGACACUAAAUAAGUGGGAUGGUGACAUCUUCUGGUUCCUUCUCAGUGGCCCUCAUCUGGUUAGGGCAAUUAAAGAUCAGAAAAACAAAGGCCUAAUGGUGUCACGGUAGAUUGCAGGUUCCCAAGAUAGACUGGGGGAGGCAGCCCUGAUAGUAAACCUCAUUACUUCCAGUUCAUCCAUGUCACUGAUCCCUUCUUUCGGCAUCCCACAAGAUAAUAUCCAAAAGGAGGAAGCAAACUCAUCCCAUUAAAAUUAACCAAUCAAACCAUAUUUCAAUUAUUUCAACUAUAAACAUCUCCUAUUUCUAGAAUCUUUCAUCUCACUGUUAUGCAAACCUACGAUUUAUUAUAAGCCUUGAAGAUCUGUAUCACAGCUCUUUAACAAGUCAUUUUGUACCAAUAUUUCUGUUUUCAAUGCUGCAUAUUUUAUAAACAAUUUAAUACUGUGAAA